AGCGAACGCUGGCGGCAGGCCUAACACAUGCAAGUCGAACGGAUCCUUCGGGAUUAGUGGCGGACGGGUGAGUAACACGUGGGAACGUGCCCUUUGGUUCGGAACAACUCAGGGAAACUUGAGCUAAUACCGGAUGUGCCCUUCGGGGGAAAGAUUUAUCGCCAUUGGAGCGGCCCGCGUCUGAUUAGCUAGUUGGUGAGGUAACGGCCCACCAAGGCGACGAUCAGUAGCUGGUCUGAGAGGAUGAUCAGCCACACUGGGACUGAGACACGGCCCAGACUCCUACGGGAGGCAGCAGUGGGGAAUCUUGAGCAAUGGGCGAAAGCCUGACGCAGCCAUGCCGCGUGAAUGAUGAAGGUCUUAGGAUUGUAAAAUUCUUUCAGCGGGGACGAUAAUGACGGUACCCGCAGAAGAAGCUCCGGCUAACUUCGU
rnacentral:rRNA from 1 species